GAGAGAGAGAGAGAGAGAGAGAGAGAGAGAGAGAGAGAGAGAGAGAGAGAGAGAGAGAUGGGGGUGAUGAGGAAUGGGGCAGGCGUGUUCCCCUGACAUGACAGAGAAGGCUGAAACAAAAAGCUGAGGAACUGGAAGAUGCAAACUGGGUUUGUGGCCAGAGUGAAGGGAAAUGACUGAUAUGUGCUCAGAGUUUAGCCAGGCUGGGGCUGCUGGCCGAAGGGACAGUAUUAGUGCUUUAGAAAAUUCUCCAAGCAGUCCUGUAGUCUGGGUUCUGGAGACCAGCCAGCCUUCUCUGGAGCACGCGAUGGGGGUUGUGGAGUCACAAGUACAAAAGUCUAUAGAGCAUCAUUUUGAAACCCUCUUUUGACUUUUCAGAUAAAUUGCAGAAUCAUCACUAAUCUUAAAACACUUUCCAUUAAAACCACACUUCUUAAAAGGGCUGGAAGGAUGCCCCCUCCUGCUCCCCGGAGCCUCCUUUUGUGUGUGCUCUUCCCCCACGGGCAGAGAUUUAUUUCAUUAGCAGGGGCUCCCUGGCUACAUUUACAGUCCGAGGAUAAGUCUUCCUGGCUUCCUGACUGCCCUGCUGCUAAGACUGCUCCAGGAGGCCAGGUAGCAAAGCAACCUUCUCGUGGUGAGAUGGGUUUUCCCCUGUGGAUGCCUUUCUGCAGAACAGUGGGAAUCUUUCUACUUUAUUUCUGUAACCACUUUUUAAAUACUCUGCAAAAUAAUAUUUGAGUCAAAAAGGAGUCUGUGGCUCUCCCUGUUAUUCUCUCUGCAGGAGGUUAGUGUUUGUGAUAAUUCCCCUCCCAUCUUGCUUACUUCCCAAACAAUCCCUUUCCUUUUUACUCCUUUUUCUUCUGGCUGUUUAUCAUCCCAUCAUUCUACUUUCUUAUAUUCUAUGUGGAUUAUUUACUAGAAAGAUGUCGCGGGGUUAAGGAGACAGCUCGGUGGUAGAGCGCUUACCCAGCAUGUCUAAAGCCUUGGGUUUGAUCUCCUGCACUGAAGGGGGAAAAAAAAGAGAACAUUAUUUAAAAAUGAAAAAAAAAAAAAGUUAAGCAAAGCCACCCUUCCCAGGCCCACCCUUACUAGCCUGUAGGAAGAAAAGCAGUCAGAGACAAUGAUUCAGACACUGGCAUUUUCUGGAGGAGCUCGCUGGAGCAGGAUCCUAUCCCCUCCUGGAGGGUAUGAGCUUCCUGCCAGCCUCUGUGGCAAAGGACCAGAAAAGCCACAAAGACCUGAGUGGCUUAAUGGAGUGCCUGCCACAUUGGACCCACCAGGCCUUGCAGGUGAUCAUGGCUGCCAUUCUCCCAAAGAGGACUUCAAGCCGACCAGGAGGACUCAGGCAGAGCAGGCCUUCUAACUCCCCCAAGGAAAAAGACAAGUGCGCCACAGGCUGAUGAGAUAGGCCCUGCUCCAAAUGUCACCUCCCCCGCAUUUUUGAUCUGGCACGAAAUGAGUGUGGCCUGUGUACUUUUGUCUCCUUGCUCUCUCCCUUCCUCCACCCCUUUCUUCUCUUGGUUUAUCUGUGUGUGUGUAUUGUAUGUAUGGCUGUGUACACAUGCGAAUGCAUGUAUGGACAGAUCAGCACGUCUUCCCAGAUAGUUCUCCAUCAUCCAUUACCUUAUCAUUUCGAGGCAGGCUCUCUCACUGAACCUGGCACUCACUGACUAGACAGUCUGGCCAGUGAACUUCAGGGAUCCUUUUGACCCAACCCUCCCAGGAUAGGACUGAAGAUGUGCUGGACCACACCUACUUUUUUAAUGUAGGUGCUGGGGAUCCAAACCCAGUCUCUUGUGCUUGCAUGGCAGAUACUUUACCAACUGAGCCAUCUCCCCAGCCCAGUUCUCUCUUCCCCUCUGUAACCUAAGCUGACCUGGAAAUCAUAGUCAGCCCAGAUUAGCCUUGACUUCUACAUCCUCCUGUCUCUGCUUUGCAAAUGCUAGGAUUGGAGAUGUGACUCAUGAAGCCCCGAUGUAGCCCUGAUUCUAGAAUUUCAGAAGCAUAGGAACCUCCCCUUUGUACUCUGUCCACCUCUGGUCUGUUAGACACAGCUCAGUGACCCAGGGCUGUAGAGGGCCUCCUGGUCUUUCUGAGACAUGAUGUGGCUACAGUAAAUGGAGCCAUUGCUUGGGUGCUUGAAGGGAGAGGAGGUACCAAGCAAUGGAGCUAGGGGAGGAGUCUAUGGGCUGCCUGUGGCUGCAUUCUCUUGGAGAUGGGGGACCAGUCUAAAGUGACUUUGACUCAGGCAACAGAGAAAACAUUGCUCACUCUCAGGUCUUCCUCUCCUUGUCUUUCUGGAAGAGUGGUCCUCUGCUUCUGCCUUCCAGAUGUGGGCCUGGCUUCUUGGAGCUUGAUAAUGUGGGGUGAAGUACGGGGAUUCUAAUUUCCAGAGGAGCAAGGUGUUCUUGGAUGCCUGCCAUGUGUGUCGUGUGUACUCUGGUGAUGAGCCUCACUAAUCAUUUCCUUGUAGUGUGUUAUUAAACCCCCUAGAGAUGAGCCCUUAGGCCUCCCGUGGCUGACUGGGAAAUGCAGGCCACACCUAAGGAGCUGGAAAGUGGUGUAAAGCCAGGGCUUCAAAACAGACUAGAUAGUGCCUCAGAGUUUAGUUAUAGGGCACAGUUCUAUGGCCUGAAGCCAUUCUAUGCUGAUUCCCCUCUCUACCCUUAAGAUGGGCUAAGUCCUGAAAUAGCUGAGGCUGCCUCAUCUGGACAGCUCCUAGACAUGGGUGUGGGAAUCAGGAAGCGGGGCUCUGGGUUCUUUUGCCAGGAGAUCUGUGUCCUAAGAACCCUGAAUCAGGCCUUUCUGUUGGUUCAAACAAGCUUUUUUUUUUUUCUUUCAGAUAGACAAAUGAACAGUUAACAGGUCUGAGUACACCCACCUUUCACCUCCCAGGGCCCUGUGAAGUUUAAAUGAAGAUGUAUUUUUAAAAAACAAAAAACAAAGCAGCAAACAGGAGGGAACUUGCACACUCAAAGGGGGAAUAGUGCUGAUAUUGAAAUAACGAAUCUAAUACGCUGCUUUUGGAAAGCAGGCAAGAGCCCUUGCUAGCCAGAAAGCUCCCAGCUUGGUCACCACGGUGUGUGCUUCCCUGGGCAUACACCUUGGACUAACCCUGCAUGCCACUCAGCUGGCGAGCAGAUUUUUCUAGGCUCCAUCCCCCAGAAUCUUUGGAAGAACACUGGAUUAGGUAUGCUAGACUGGUCCUGGCUUUGACUGAAGAGAUUACACAU
rnacentral:lncRNA from 1 species